rnacentral:piRNA from 1 species
UUGACCUGGAUGUUUGUAAAAGUGUAC